CACAACAUCGCAACCAUAGGCGUGCCACAAGAUCAGGCAUAACCACGCAGCGAGCAAAACAGACCUACAAUACCCAAACAAGAACAACAGGUCACAAAAUGGUCGACAAUCACAAAAUGGUGCCAAUAAUCUGGACUGGCAACCUGGGCAUUUCAUGAAAGUCACGUGAUUUCAUGAAACCACCAAAUGUGCACCUUCAUUGCCAGUGUCCAAAGAGCUGGUAACUUCAUCCAGUAUGAGCACCUGAGGUUGUCUGAUCAGAGCUCUGGCGAUAGCGAUGCGCUGCUUCUGACCUCCUGAAAGUAGAUUACCACGCUCUCCCACG